UGGCUCAAUUUCUCUCCCAAGCUUUAGGA
rnacentral:piRNA from 1 species